AGUGAACGCUGGCGGUAGGCCUAACACAUGCAAGUCGAACGGCAGCACAGGAGAGCUUGCUCUCUGGGUGGCGAGUGGCGGACGGGUGAGGAAUACAUCGGAAUCUGCCCAGUCGUGGGGGAUAACGUAGGGAAACUUACGCUAAUACCGCAUACGACCUUCGGGUGAAAGAGGGGGAUCGCAAGACCUCUCGCGAUUGGAUGAGCCGAUGUCGGAUUAGCUAGUUGGCGGGGUAAUGGCCCACCAAGGCGACGAUCCGUAGCUGGUCUGAGAGGAUGAUCAGCCACACUGGAACUGAGACACGGUCCAGACUCCUACGGGAGGCAGCAGUGGGGAAUAUUGGACAAUGGGCGCAAGCCUGAUCCAGCCAUACCGCGUGGGUGAAGAAGGCCUGCGGGUUGUAAAGCCCUUUUGUUGGGAAAGAAAUCUUUCAGGCUAAUACCCUGGGAGGAUGACGGUACCCAAAGAAUAAGCACCGGCUAACUUCGU
rnacentral:rRNA from 1 species